rnacentral:rRNA from 1 species
AUACGAAGGGGGCUAGCGUUGUUCGGAAUUACUGGGCGUAAAGCGCACGUAGGCGGAUUUGUUAGUCAGAGGUGAAAUCCCGGGGCUCAACCCCGGAACUGCCUUUGAUACUGCAAGUCUUGAGUCCGAGAGAGGUGAGUGGAAUUCCUAGUGUAGAGGUGAAAUUCGUAGAUAUUAGGAAGAACACCAGUGGCGAAGGCGGCUCACUGGCUCGGUACUGACGCUGAGGUGCGAAAGCGUGGGGAGCAAACAGGAUUAGAAACCCUUGUAGUCC